GGAGGUGGAGGGCAACAUGACAUGUAAACCCUCUCAUAUAAAAGAGAGAUGAUGACAGAGGAGAGGAGAGGAGGUGGAGGGCAACAUGACAUGAAAACCCUCUCAUCUAAAAGAGGGGAGGAAAGGGUUUUUUUUUAAAGAGAAGAGGAGAAGACAGGCUGAGGAGAUGAG